rnacentral:rRNA from 1 species
UUCCUAGUGUCUUGACUGCAGUGGAACCACACCAACCCAUCCCGAACUUGGUUGUUAAACGCUGUAGGAGUGACAAUACUGAAGGGGGGACCCUUUGGGAAAAUAGCUUGAUGCUAGGAAAUAAAAAAAUAAGAACUCUGU